GGGUAACCUGCCCAUAAGACUGGGAUAACUCCGGGAAACCGGGGCUAAUACCGGAUAAUAUUUUGAACUGCAUGGUUCGAAAUUGAAAGGCGGCUUCGGCUGUCACUUAUGGAUGGACCCGCGUCGCAUUAGCUAGUUGGUGAGGUAACGGCUCACCAAGGCAACGAUGCGUAGCCGACCUGAGAGGGUGAUCGGCCACACUGGGACUGAGACACGGCCCAGACUCCUACGGGAGGCAGCAGUAGGGAAUCUUCCGCAAUGGACGAAAGUCUGGCGGAGCAACGCCGCGUGAGUGAUGAAGGCUUUCGGGUCGUAAAACUCUGUUGUUAGGGAAGAACAAGUGCUAGUUGAAUAAGCUGGCACCUUGACGGUACCUAACCAGAAAGCCACGGCUAACUACGUGCCAGCAGCCGCGGUAAUACGUAGGUGGCAAGCGUUAUCCGGAAUUAUUGGGCGUAAAGCGCGCGCAGGUGGUUUCUUAAGUCUGAUGUGAAAGCCCACGGCUCAACC
rnacentral:rRNA from 1 species